GAUGAAGAACGCAGCGAAAUGCGAUACUUGGUGUGAAUUGCAGAAUCCCGUGAACCAUCGAGUCUUUGAACGCAAGUUGCGCCCGAAGCCACUAGGCCGAGGGCACGCCUGCCUGGGCGUCACACGCCGUUGCCCCCCCAUCUACUCCUUCGGGAUUGCGGGGGGGCGGAUGAUGGCCUCCUGUGCGCCUAGCCGCGCGGUUGGCAUAAAUACCAAGUCCUCGGCGACGCACGCCACGACAAUCGGUGGUUGCGAAACCUCGGUUGCCCGUCGUGUGCGUUCGUCGCGCAUCGAGGGCUCGAAAAAAUGCUCGGCUCCGGCUGGGCUUUCAACGUGACCCCAGGUCAGGCGGGGUUACCCGCUGAAUUUAAGCAUAUCAAUAAGCGGAGGA
rnacentral:misc_RNA from 1 species